CUCCACAUCACUCCUCAGGGAGGAAAUGAACGCCCAGGCAGGCAGAGCUGUGGGCAUCUACAGCAGGCCCUGUGCUGCUGUCGCAACCUCACCUUGGUCCCCUGAGGCGGUUAUCACCAUCCCAUUCCAGAGACAAGGCAAAUGAGGCCCAGGUGGGUGAAGAAACUGACCUAUCAAGGCAGAGCUAGUGGGUAGCAUGCUGGACUUCCAAGCCUUCCUGAGAAAGUGAACUGUUUCCUCUGUAGAUGGGCAUAGGCAUGGCUGUGUGUGCAUCUUGUCCUGACCAUUCCACAGUGGCUGUUAUCACACUCCAUUUACAAUUUGGCUCAGAAAACCAGAGGUGAACCUGAAGCAGCCCAGCUGGCCCUAAGAAGCCCUGGACGCUCCCUCCCAUCCUCACAUUGUUGAGUCAAUGCUAUAAUUUGAAUGUCUGUGUCCCCUCCAAAAUUCAUGCUGAAACUUAAUCCUUAAGGAGCAGUUUUAAGAGGUGGGGCCUUUAAGAAGUGAUGAGGUCAUGAGGGCUCUCUAUGAAUGGAUUAGUGUCUUAUAAAGGGCUUGAGGGGGCCAGUUCCCCCCUCUUCAGUCCCAUAGGCCAUGUGAAGACACAGUUCAUGGUGCCAUCUUGGAAGCAGAGAGCAACCCUUAACAGAGACACUGAACAAGCCUGUGCCUUGAUCUUGGACUUCACAGCGUCCAGAACAGUAAGAAAUAAAUUUCUGUUGUUUACAAAUUA
rnacentral:antisense_RNA from 1 species